rfam:Tropicibacter litoreus R37 strain CECT 7639 genome assembly, contig: 0013
GAAACACCCGGUCCCAUCCCGAACCCGGAAGUUAAGCACUGCUGCGGCAAUGGUACUGCGUCUCAAGGCGUGGGAGAGUAGCUCACCGCCAAAC